UACAGAGGUGCGAGCGUUGUCCGGAAUCACUGGGCGUAAAGGGCGCGUAGGUGGCCUGGUAAGUAGGGGGUGAAAUCUCGAGGCUCAACUUCGAGGCUGCCUCCUAAACUGUCAGGCUUGAGCAGAGUAGAGGCAGGUGGAAUCCCGGUGUAGCGGUGGAAUGCGUAGAGUAUCGGGAAGAACACGGUGGCGAAGGCGGCCUGCUGGG
rnacentral:rRNA from 1 species